rnacentral:rRNA from 1 species
GACGAACGCUGGCGGCGUGCCUAAUACAUGCAAGUCGAGCGGACUUUCAAGAAGCUUGCUUUUUGAACGUUAGCGGCACACGGGUGUGUAACACGUGGGCAACCUCCCUGCAAGACGGGGAUAACUCCGAGACACCGGGGCUAAUACCGGAUAAUAUCUUCCUUCGCAUGGAGGAAGGGUGAAAGGCGGCGCUAGCUUCCGCUUGCGGAUGGGCCCGCGGCGCUUGAGGUAGUUGGGGAGGAAACGGCUCACCAAGGCGACGGUGCGGAGCCGGCCUGGUGGGGUGGUCGGCCACACUGGGAAUGAGACACGGCCCAGGCUCCUACGGGAGGGAGCAGGAGGGGAUCUUCCGCAAUGGGCGGAAGUCUGGCGGAGCAACGCCGCGGGAGCGGAGAAGGGCUUCGGAUCGUGAAGGUCUGUUGUCAGGGAAGAACAAGUACCGUUCGAACAGGGCGGGACCUUGACGGUACCUGAACAGAAAGCCACGGCUAACUACGUG